rnacentral:rRNA from 1 species
ACUUAUGGAACAUGUUGAUCGUAACCAGUUCUUGUCUGAUCACCAAAGUGAAGCAAUGUCAAGCCCAGUUAGUAUUUAGAUGGGUGACCAAUUGGGAAACCUAGUGCUGUAAGCA